rnacentral:rRNA from 2 species
UUGCACAAGNCCGUGGAGCAUGUGGUUUAAUUCGAAGCAACGCGAAGAACCUUACCAGGUCUUGACAUCCAGUGCAAACCUAAGAGAUUAGGUGUUCCCUUCGGGGACGCUGAGACAGGUGGUGCAUGGCUGUCGUCAGCUCGUGUCGUGAGAUGUUGGGUUAAGUCCCGCAACGAGCGCAACCCUUGUCAUUAGUUGCCAUCAUUAAGUUGGGCACUCUAAUGAGACUGCCGGUGACAAACCGGAGGAAGGUGGGGAUGACGUCAAGUCAUCAUGCCCCUUAUGACCUGGGCUACACACGUGCUACAAUGGACGGUACAACGAGAAGCGAACCUGCGAAGGCAAGCGGAUCUCUAAAAGCCGUUCUCAGUUCGGACUGUAGGCUGCAACUCGCCUACACGAAGCUGGAAUCGCUAGUAAUCGCGGAUCAGCACGCCGCGGUGAAUANNNUCCCGGGCA